AAUCAACGCUGGCGGCGUGCCUCAGACAUGCAAGUCGAACGCGAAAGGCCCCUUCGGGGGCCCGGUAGAGUGGCGCACGGGUGAGUAACACGUAGGUAAUUUGCCUUCGGGUGGGGAAUAACAGCCGGAAACGGCUGCUAAUACCGCAUAAUGCAGCGGCUCGACAUCGAGACAGUUGUUAAAGCGGGGGAUCGCAAGACCUCGCGCCUGAAGAGAAGCCUGCGGCAGAUAGCUUGUUGGUGAGGUAAUGGCUCACCAAGGCGACGAUCUGUAACCGGCCUGAGAGGGCGGUCGGUCACACUGACACUGACAUACGGGUCAGACUCC
rnacentral:rRNA from 1 species